UACGUAGGGGGCAAGCGUUGUCCGGAUUUAUUGGGCGUAAAGAGCGCGUAGGCGGCCAAGCAGGUCCGCUGUGAAAACUCGAGGCUCAACCUCGAGACGUCGGUGGAAACCGUUUGGCUAGAGUCCGGAAGAGGAGAGUGGAAUUCCCGGUGUAGCGGUGAAAUGCGCAGAUAUCGGGAAGAACACCCGUGGCGAAGGCGGCUCUCUGGGACGGUACUGACGCUGAGGCGCGAAAGCGUGGGGAGCGAACAGG
rnacentral:rRNA from 1 species